AGAGUUUGAUCAUGGCUCAGAACAAACGCUGGCGGCGUGCCUAAUACAUGCAAGUCGAACGAGGAAGUCCCUUCGGGGAUUGUACUAGUGGCGUACGGGUGAGUAACGCGUGGAUAAUCUUCCUUAAGGUGGGGAAUAACUAGUCGAAAAGAUUAGCUAAUACCGCAUAAGACCACAUGAUCUUCGGAUCAAGGGGUUAAAGCCGAAAGGCGCCUUUAGAUGAGUCUGCGCCCGAUUAGCUAGUUGGUGAGGUAAUGGCUCACCAAGGCGACGAUCGGUAGCUGGUCUGAGAGGACGGCCAGCCACACUGGGACUGAGACACGGCCCAGACUCCUACGGGAGGCAGCAGUAGGGAAUAUUGCACAAUGGAGGAAACUCUGAUGCAGCGACGCCGCGUGAGUGACGAAGGCCUUCGGGUUGUAAAGCUCUGUUCUCAGGGAAAAAGAAAGUGAUUGUACCUGAGGAGAAAGGACCGGCUAACUUCGUGCCAGCAGCCGCGGUAAGACGAGGGGUCCAAGCGUUGUUCGGAAUUAUUGGGCGUAAAGCGGGUGUAGGUGGCUCUAUAAGUCAGAAGUGAAAGCCCCGAGCUUAACUUGGGAAGUGCUUUUGAUACUGUAGAGCUUGAGUGUGGGAGAGGAUCGUGGAAUUCCAGGUGUAGUGGUGAAAUACAGAUAUCUGGAGGAACACCGGUGGCGAAGGCGGCGAUCUGGCCCAACACUGACACUGAGACCCGAAAGCGUGGGGAUCAAACAGGAUUAGAUACCCUAGUAGUCC
rnacentral:rRNA from 1 species